GACGAACGCUGGCGGCGUGCUUAACACAUGCAAGUCGAACGGUGACGGAGAGCUUGCUCUCCUGAUCAGUGGCGAACGGGUGAGUAACACGUGGGCAACCUGCCCAGACUUCGGGAUAACGCUUCGAAAGAGGUGCUAAUACCGAAUACGAACCUCCCUGGCAUCUGGGAGGUUGGAAAGUUUUUCGGUCUGGGAUGGGCCCGCGGCCUAUCAGCUUGUUGGUGAGGUAACGGCUCACCAAGGCGACGACGGGUAGCCGGCCUGAGAGGGCGACCGGCCACACUGGGACUGAGACACGGCCCAGACUCCUACGGGAGGCAGCAGUGGGGAAUAUUGCGCAAUGGGCGAAAGCCUGACGCAGCAACGCCGCGUGAGGGAUGACGGCC
rnacentral:rRNA from 1 species